rnacentral:rRNA from 1 species
GUAUAGACCCGAAACCCGGUGAUCUAGCCAUGGGCAGGUUGAAGGUUGGGUAACACUAACUGGAGGACCGAACCGACUAAUGUUGAAAAAUUAGCGGAUGACUUGUGGCUGGGGGUGAAAGGCCAAUCAAACCGGGAGAUAGCUGGUUCUCCCCGAAAGCUAUUUAGGUAGCGCCUCGUGAAUUCAUCUCCGGGGGUAGAGCACUGUUUCGGCAAGGGGGUCAUCCCGACUUACCAACCCGAUGCAAACUGCGAAUACCGGAGAAUGUUAUCACGGGAGACACACGGCGGGUGCUAACGUCCGUCGUGAAGAGGGAAACAACCCAGACCGCCAGCUAAGGUCCCAAAGUCAUGGUUAAGUGGGAAACGAUGUGGGAAGGCCCAGACAGCCAGGAUGUUGGCUUAGAAGCAGCCAUCAUUUAAAGAAAGCGUAAUAGCUCACUGGUCGAGUCGGCCUGCGCGGAAGAUGUAACGGGGCUAAACCAUGCACCGAAGCUGCGGCAGCGACACUAUGUGUUGUUGGGUAGGGGAGCGUUCUGUAAGCCUGUGAAGGUGUACUGUGAGGUAUGCUGGAGGUAUCAGAAGUGCGAAUGCUGACAUAAGUAACGAUAAAGCGGGUGAAAAGCCCGCUCGCCGGAAGACCAAGGGUUCCUGUCCAACGUUAAUCGGGGCAGGGUGAGUCGACCCCUAAGGCGAGGCCGAAAGGCGUAGUCGAUGGGAAACAGGUUAAUAUUCCUGUACUUGGUGUUACUGCGAAGGGGGGACGGAGAAGGCUAUGUUGGCCGGGCGACGGUUGUCCCGGUUUAAGCGUGUAGGCUGGUUUUCCAGGCAAAUCCGGAAAAUCAAGGCUGAGGCGUGAUGACGAGGCACUACGGUGCUGAAGCAACAAAUGCCCUGCUUCCAGGAAAAGCCUCUAAGCAUCAGGUAACAUCAAAUCGUACCCCAAACCGACACAGGUGGUCAGGUAGAGAAUACCAAGGCGCUUGAGAGAACUCGGGUGAAGGAACUAGGCAAAAUGGUGCCGUAACUUCGGGAGAAGGCACGCUGAUAUGUAGGUGAAGUCCCUCGCGGAUGGAGCUGAAAUCAGUCGAAGAUACCAGCUGGCUGCAACUGUUUAUUAAAAACACAGCACUGUGCAAACACGAAAGUGGACGUAUACGGUGUGACGCCUGCCCGGUGCCGGAAGGUUAAUUGAUGGGGUUAGCGGUAACGCGAAGCUCUUGAUCGAAGCCCCGGUAAACGGCGGCCGUAACUAUAACGGUCCUAAGGUAGCGAAAUUCCUUGUCGGGUAAGUUCCGACCUGCACGAAUGGCGUAAUGAUGGCCAGGCUGUCUCCACCCGAGACUCAGUGAAAUUGAACUCGCUGUGAAGAUGCAGUGUACCCGCGGCAAGACGGAAAGACCCCGUGAACCUUUACUAUAGCUUGACACUGAACAUUGAGCCUUGAUGUGUAGGAUAGGUGGGAGGCUUUGAAGUGUGGACGCCAGUCUGCAUGGAGCCGGCCUUGAAAUACCACCCUUUAAUGUUUGAUGUUCUAACGUUGGCCCCUGACCGGGGUUGCGGACAGUGUCUGGUGGGUAGUUUGACUGGGGCGGUCUCCUCCUAAAGAGUAACGGAGGAGCACGAAGGUUGGCUAAUCCUGGUCGGACAUCAGGAGGUUAGUGCAAUGGCAUAAGCCAGCUUGACUGCGAGCGUGACGGCGCGAGCAGGUGCGAAAGCAGGUCAUAGUGAUCCGGUGGUUCUGAAUGGAAGGGCCAUCGCUCAACGGAUAAAAGGUACUCCGGGGAUAACAGGCUGAUACCGCCCAAGAGUUCAUAUCGACGGCGGUGUUUGGCACCUCGAUGUCGGCUCAUCACAUCCUGGGGCUGAAGUAGGUCCCAAGGGUAUGGCUGUUCGCCAUUUAAAGUGGUACGCGAGCUGGGUUUAGAACGUCGUGAGACAGUUCGGUCCCUAUCUGCCGUGGGCGCUGGAGAACUGAGGGGGGCUGCUCCUAGUACGAGAGGACCGGAGUGGACGCAUCACUGGUGUUCGGGUUGUCAUGCCAAUGGCACUGCCCGGUAGCUAAAUGCGGAAGAGAUAAGUGCUGAAAGCAUCUAAGCACGAAACUUGCCCCGAGAUGAGUUCUCCCUGACUCCUUGA